AGCUUUGUGCAGUGGUAGUAUUGUAGCCAAUGAGGUUUAUUCGAGGCGCAAUUAUUGCUAAUUAAAAACUUUUCCCAAAACCCCACCGUGACGACUUGAAAUAUAGUCAGCACUGGCUUUAAAAAAAAGAGGCAGAUUU